UCGGGCCACCCUCCUUGUUUCGACUUCCCCCAGUCAUGAAUCCAAAGUGGUAAGCGCCCUCCCGAAGGUUAAGCUACCUACUUCUUUUGCAACCCACUCCCAUGGUGUGACGGGCGGUGUGUACAAGGCCCGGGAACGUAUUCACCGUAGCAUUCUGAUCUACGAUUACUAGCGAUUCCGACUUCAUGGAGUCGAGUUGCAGACUCCAAUCCGGACUACGACAUACUUUAUGAGGUCCGCUUGCUCUCGCGAGGUCGCUUCUCUUUGUAUAUGCCAUUGUAGCACGUGUGUAGCCCUGGUCGUAAGGGCCAUGAUGACUUGACGUCAUCCCCACCUUCCUCCAGUUUAUCACUGGCAGUCUCCUUUGAGUUCCCGGCCUAACCGCUGGCAACAAAGGAUAAGGGUUGCGCUCGUUGCGGGACUUAACCCAACAUUUCACAACACGAGCUGACGACAGCCAUGCAGCACCUGUCUCACAGUUCCCGAAGGCACCAAUCCAUCUCUGGAAAGUUCUGUGGAUGUCAAGACCAGGUAAGGUUCUUCGCGUUGCAUCGAAUUAAACCACAUGCUUCACCGCUUGUGUGGCCCCCCGACAAAUCAUUUGAGUUUUAACCUUGGUGCUGUACUCACCACGCGGUCGAUUACUCGCGUGUAGGUCCGGAGUGAAUCGCCAAAUCGGGUGCCAGCCCCACCUAUCUACUUGGGCAACCUUCACGAAAAGAAAACAGCAGCUUGUUUAGAAUUGAGAAAGUUGCCCCAGCCUGCUGAGAAGGUUGUACCAAAGAAAAUGUUUUUUCACGUGAAGAUAGAUAUUCAUUCUACCAGAGUCAUCUCUUUACCUUAUCAACACUAUACGUUCUCUAUUAUAUAUACAAACAAACGAUAGGCAA
rnacentral:rRNA from 1 species